GAUGAACGCUAGCGGCAGGCCUAACACAUGCAAGUCGAGGGAAAGGCCGUCGGGCUAAGACCGGCGCACGGGGGCGUAACGCGGAUACAAACUGCCUGUUAUCCUGCGGAUAGCCCGGAGAAAUUUGGAUUAAUACGCUAUGGUUUAAGAGCACGGCAUCGAGCCGUUAUUAACGCUACGGAGGUAAAAGUUGAUUAUCCGUUCUAUUAGCUGGUUGGAGAGGUAACGGCUACCCAAGGCGACGAUACAUAGGGGGUCUGGGAGGGAGGUCCCCCACACCUGUGCUGAGAUCCGGACCAGAAUCCUACGGGAGGCAGCAGUAAGGAAUAUUGGGCAAUGGUCGGAAGACUGAUCCAGCCAUGCCACGUGCAGAAUGACGGCCUUAUGGGUACUAAACUGCUUUUGUAAGGGAAGAAUAAGGAGUACGAGUACUUUGAUGACGGUACCUUACGAAUAAGCAUCGGCUAACUCCGUG
rnacentral:rRNA from 1 species